GACGUAGGGCGCGAGCGUUGUCCGGAUUUAUUGGGCGUAAAGAGCGUGUAGGCGGCCUGACAAGUCUGCUGUGAAAACUCGAGGCUCAACCUCGAGAUGUCGGCGGAAACUGUCUGGCUAGAGUCCGGAAGAGGAGAGUGGAAUUCCUGGUGUAGCGGUGAAAUGCGCAGAUAUCAGGAAGAACACCCGUGGCGAAGGCGGCUUUCUGGGACGGUACUGACGCUGAGACGCGAAAGCGUGGGGAGCGAACAGG
rnacentral:rRNA from 1 species